rnacentral:piRNA from 1 species
UGAAUACGAUAAGGAAACUCUGUGGAGAC